UAACCCCCACGUCCCCAGCCCUCCUCAGCUGGAGGAACUGAGGCCAGCGCUCACCUGGCCAGCAAGUACUGCAGGCACCUGGCCGACAGGGCGCAGCCUGGAGUUCACCUUGGGGCGUGACCGGCUGCUGCGGAAUGGUCCGGGGCGUUGCCUGUAGGCAGUGGGCGGAGUCAGAGGCAGGAUGCUGGCCGCUGGCCUCUGCUGUCUGGCCGUGACCUCCUGGGUCUCUCAGCCUCCCCAGGCCGCCAGUUCCUCAGCGUGAAGCGCGGCUAAUGAUGAGCAGCCUGUUGGGGUGCGUGCGGCUCCCGUGAGAUGCUGCGCCCAUCAGCCCUGGGCCGGCGAUCCCGCUGCCCCCCUGAACGCCUCUCCUCCUCCUGUUACGUGUCCCGUGCCUGCUCUGGGGGGUGACCCCCCACCUCGUGUCUGCCUGGGGCCCUCCCUGAACUCAGGGGGACCACAGAGAACUAGUGUUACCCCCCUUGACAUUAGGCAUUUGCUCUGCCCAGACGGGCCCCAAUCCUUCACCUGUUUUGCUGAGUGCAGCCCGGGGCUGAACCCUCAGCAGACACACACCUGUCGGGGCUUUCUGCUUCCCUGGGGGACACGGGCCUCAGCUGUGCCUGCUCCUGCCUUCAGCGUCUCAGCUUUGUGGAGACCACGAGGGUACACCGAGCCCCAGAGGAUGCCAGGAAUUCUGCGGCCCAGGGAGCCGAGAACCACUGAUGCAGCGAGAUUGCCAAGCCCCGUGUGUUGGUCGCUCUGUGAGGAUGUCAUGGAGAAGCUGGGGUCCUGGGCAGCCACUAGUGGGCUGUGCACGUGGACGCUGCCUGCUGUCUCAGAACAGUGCUUCUUAAAUCGGGGCCCCAGGACCAGGAGUCUCAGCAUCACCUGGACACCUGCCGGAAAUGCGGUCCCCCAGUCCAGGCCCAUGAAGCAGGGCCGCCGGGCCUGCACCCAGCACUGUGUCAACAGGCCUUCCUGGGGCUCUGCUGUGGGCGCAAGUUUGAGAACCAGCCUGGGACAAAGGGCACAUGCUGGCACCUGGGGAAGUCUGGGUGGGGCUGCGCUCCCUCACCUGUAUCAUCGGGACCCGUUCAUUGUCACACUUGCAUCCAUCUGUGCGCUCCAGUAUCAGUCCAGCCUCUGAUGGCCAGGCAUCCCUCUGGACUCUGGAGGUGCACAGCCGAGCAACCGGACAAGGUCCCCGGCCUCAUGGACCUCGGUCCGCUGCAGAGGGCGGAGGGCGUUUCACAGUGACGGCUGACACAUGAUGAACUGAAGCCUUCUUCUGGGCCAGGGUAGCUCGUGGCGGGGCACUUGACCCAAUGUGAGGAUGGCCUUCUGCAGGGGAGCAGCAUCUGAGCAGGACCCGAAGCCUCGUAGCCGCCUUGGGGCUUUUCAUCUACCAAGUUCACCUCAUUUGCAGUGAUGACAGCCCGCGGGCCGCGCAGACUGGAUUAGCGCAGGGCUCUGCUGUUCUCGCACCCGGGGGCGUCCCAGCUGUCAGUCCCAGCUGUGAAGAGCCGGCUCGGUCCCACUCGCCCUCUUUGCAUCAGCAACGACCUGCGCCAGCUAACCCUGAUGCACAGCGCUGGAGUUGGCGCUCUGGAAACCGAAAGAUGCUGGACAAGAAUGAAAUGUUCACGUUCUCAGAAGCUGAAGCCGAAGGCCAGAAUUUGUUGAUCUGCCUGUGUGGCCCUCUAGAGCUCGAGUGUCUCUCAGAAGUGGCUAUUCAUCAUUGUUGAAAUGCUGCAUGACAUUCCAGUCUCCCUAGAGAUUCCACUGGAUCGUGACUGAGUCUGUGCAUCUACUCCUCAUAUUUUCAAAUGCAACUUCAGUUCUCCGCGAAGCGUUUUGUGCUCGAGAGGAGAGGUGCCAUGCGAUUCCUAGAAUCCCUGCAGGAAGUCAGAGUAGCAGAGGCCACAGUGCCCGACAGCCGACUGACCGACGAGGUAAAGGAGGAGAAACUACCAGAGAAGGGCUCAGUCUUCCACUGCAGGAAACUUACAUUUCAUGGAAAAGGUAGGCGGCAGAAAGAACCCAGACCAGAGGAGGACACGGCAGCUCUGAGGGCGCCCCCUGGCGGCGGGGAGUCUCGGUGGGGGUGGACCUCCAGGCGAGCCUUCGGGGUGGGAGGCAGUGGGUGCGGAGGCCAUGCUGGAUGGAGGGAGGCUGGGCUGAAUGGAGGGGAGGCUGUGCUGGAUGGACGAAGGGGAGGCCGUGCUGGAUGGAGGGAGGCUGUGCUGGAUGGACGAAGAGGAGGCCGUGCUGGAUGGAGGGAGGCUGUGCUGGAUGGAGGGAGGCCAUGCUGGACAGAGGGAGGGGAGGCCGUGCUGGACGGAGGGAGGCCGUGCUGGACGGACGGAGGCUGGGCUGAAUGGAGGGAGGCCGUGCUGGACGGAGGGAAGGUUGUGUUGGAUGGAGGGAGGCCGUGCUGGAUGGAGGGGGGCCAUGCUGGAUGGAGGGAGGCCGUGCUGGACGGAGGGGAGUCCUCUUGGAUGGAGCGAGGCUGUGCUGGACAGAGGGGAGGCUGUACUGGACGGAGGGGAGGCCAUCCUGGACGGAGAGGCCAGCACGGAGGCUGACUGUAGGCAGCUAAGCGAGGCACUUGUGGGGGAGCAGCGAGCCGUUUGUCCUGCUUAGAGUCCAGGCGCAUGGAGGGCAGCGAGGGGAGGCCACGCUGGGGACGGGUCUUGUGUGCGUGGUCGAGGCCUUGAUGGCCUGGGCAGGACGCUCACAUACUUACCCUUUCCCUGCAGUCACGUUCUGUCUUAGUUACGGUUUUUUUUUUGGCAUAUGACCCAUUCCUUAUAUUGGUUUGUGAGAUCUUUGUUUGCCUAAUUCUGGGUAUCUCCUAAUCCUAAAGACAGACUGAUUCGUUCUUUCAGCCGCCAUUGACUGAGGGCCUUUUGUGUGGAGCUACCCAGCAGGUGCGUCUCUACUUUGAAUGGGUUGUUGAAGGUGUGCCGAGAUCUCUUUCGCCGGCAGAUUCCCGAACUGCAUGCAUCACCUCUAAGCUCUGUUUGUGCUCUUUGAUGGGACAGAGGCUUGAGGGCCCCACAGGUAGUUCUGAAUGAGGUGGUCUCAUCCCCCAACGAUUAACGAUGCAAUGUCCAAGGUAAUGUGAGUCACGAUGAUAAAGUAUGUGACAGUACAUGGGGCCUGCAGCACAGAGGGACACUGGCUCUGCAGAGAUGAAGCGGCUGUGGGAAUGCAGGAAGAGCUGCUUGGGAGGUGGGAAGUUGUGCCUGCACAAAAUCUCAGAGGCGGACGAGGUGUUUGCGUCCUGCACAGCAGCGGGGAUAGCCUGGGAGGGCAUGUGGCACAAGCAGCCUGAGCAGGGGCAGGGGGCAGGAGCCGGGCAAGAGGGGAGCCCUGGCUUAUGCGCAAAGAGGAGGCACUUGCCCUUCAAGCCCUGGAGGCCUGGCAGCAAGGCUGCACGGCGGGUGUGCGGCAGCAGGACUGCACUGGGGCGAGACCUUCCACCUUUGUAGAGAUUCAACACCAUUGAGCCACAUUUUUAGUUGCUUGCAUGAGUUUCUUCUCAAUCAUCAGUCCAGAGAGUCAGGAUUUUCUGGGCAGCCUCUGUCCGGCCACCCUGACCCCUCCUUGAUCCUCAGUCCGUACUUCCUGCUUGGACUGUGUGUGCGUGUCCGUCUGUCCAUCCAUCUCCAUGAUCUGAGGACCCUUUUCCUGCCCCUUGGGCUCGGUACAGCAUGUUGAAAUUCUCAAGGUGUCCUAAGGGUGGCUUAAGGAGCUGAAGGGGAAGUACAGCAAUUAGGAUUUCUGAUGGUCUGAAUAUAGAUCCUCAAAGAAUAUGAUGCAAAAUGCUUGUGGUACAAGUUUUGACGGUUAAGUGCGGGUCUUCUUGAGGCCAGACUCCACAAGGCCAUUCUCGCCAUGGCACUUCAGUCUGGGGCAGCUCCACAUUUUGUCGGGGGGACAUAGCCGAAGAUGACAAGGGAGGUUCUGAGCCGAGCCGGCUCCCUGUGCGGAGACCCGUUCCCCAGGGCCUGUGGCUCUGCGUUCGGAGUCCCCCAGACUCCCGGCCGACCCUCCUGGCUCCAUCUGCCCUGCUCCCGUGAACAACUGGUCUUCUCUGCGAGGCUCUGUGCUCCCUGGGGAGACCCUGCCCAGGCCUGACAAGCAACAGGAGCUUAAGCAUGAAGACUCACAGGGUCAGGACAGGGUCAGGAGCAGCAGCAGAGGCCCAGGGAGCCCGAGAGGUGCCAAGCUUGGUGGCUGUUGGAGAGAAAAACCUCCAUCAUUUGAAUUUGGCUAAAUAAGAGAGAAAGUAAAUAAUGAGGCUCUUCAGAGAAGCCAGCCCUUGGGCAUGGGGGCUGCUUCCAGGAGGGCAUGAUGUCCGUUUGUUAGAUGCCUAUCCUGUUUCUCCCAAGGGCCAGUUCCCCGGGUGCCCUGGUGCCAUUUCUCACCUGGGUGCAGGCACCACCCUGUGACCCCCAUCUCCGGGGUCUCACUCGGGGAGCACGCGUGCAGGCUCAGUCUGCCUGAGAAGGGAAGGUUCUGCGAUUGCUCCCAGGGUCCCAUGCAAGGACCUGCUAGGGGACACCUGAGACAGAUGGUGUUAUUUUCGACUUAAAAAUCAGGAACUGGCAGAGGACAAAUACAUGGUUUUGCAGAGGUUUUCUUCACUGUGCUUGUUUAACAGGAACUGACAUGUGUGUCCUGUUUCUACCAGAUCAUGAAGGCAGGAUCAGAAAACCCUAAGUUCUGCUGCCUCAAAGAGAGGUGUCCCUUCACUGGAUGGGUGCCCACACAUGCCUGUGCCAGGAGUCCAGCCGGCACCGUGGUGGCUGGCGUCAGUGGCAGGAUCUGGGGGCACAGGCUCGGAGGAGGGGGGCUGGCAGCCUCCACAUCCCCAGCCUCCGCCUGGCCCAGGGCCGAGGUGCAUGUGAGAUCUGGGGGACUCGUCCUCCGGCUCAGCCUGCAGGUGGGGCAGCCAGCUUCUAAAAGCAGGGCCUUGUCCAUCCUCAGGGUCGCAGAGCGAGGGAUGGCGCCUCCUUCUGUGCCCGUCCCCUGGUGGCUGCGCUGUUUCUGGCUUCCCUUGUCUGUCUGACUCAACCGGGAGCACGAAUCAUCAGAGCUGUUUUAGGAAACUCCCUGGGGGGCUUCUGCCAAGGGGACCGGCGCCGCGCGCUCCCCUCCCGGGACGCCUCCCUCCUCUGCCGGCCCCGCUGCCCCUGGGGCCCCUCCGUCCGCAGCAGCCUCCUGCCUCUUCCCUCCGGAGCGGCGCAGGCCGGCUGACUCGCCGGAACCCAGCAGUGCUGUUCCUCGGUAUUUCUGAACUUUCUCCAAGAGCAGCAGAGCCACACGUAAAUGGUUCUGCUUAGCCAACCAGACAGGGAGAUCGGGCUCCGUCCCUGAAGUCACCACAAACUGAAAUACAGGGACUGACCCUUGAGUUUCUCAUGCAACUCUGAGCACAGGCAGUUUGCAGGUAGGUGGGGCGGCAGAGCGGUGUGAGCCACAGCAGCUGCGUGAGACUCUGGUGUCCGCAGGCUUGUCCCCCAGCACGCGGACAGAGGCCCUGGUAGAGGCGCUGCUGCCCCCCGGGACCAGGCACCCUGGGCUGCGUCUUGCGGGCUGUCCCCGGCCGGGCAGGCGCGUCUGCCCCUCACUCCCCUCUUCCUUUCGCUUCCUCUUGUUCUGUCCUUGGCAGAAACACAACCAG